AGCGAACGCUGGCGGCAGGCUUAACACAUGCAAGUCGAACGGGCACUUCGGUGUCAGUGGCAGACGGGUGAGUAACACGCGGGAGCGUACCUUUUGGUUCGGAACAACACAGGGAAACUUGUGCUAAUACCGGAUAAGCCCUUACGGGGAAAGAUUUAUCGCCGAAAGAUCGGCCCGCGUCUGAUUAGCUAGUUGGUGAGGUAAUGGCUCACCAAGGCGACGAUCAGUAGCUGGUCUGAGAGGAUGAUCAGCCACAUUGGGACUGAGACACGGCCCAAACUCCUACGGGAGGCAGCAGUGGGGAAUAUUGGACAAUGGGCGCAAGCCUGAUCCAGCCAUGCCGCGUGAGUGAUGAAGGCCCUAGGGUUGUAAAGCUCUUUUGUGCGGGAAGAUAAUGACGGUACCGCAAGAAUAAGCCCCGGCUAACUUCGUGCCAGCCGCCGCCGUAA
rnacentral:rRNA from 1 species